UACAGAGGUCCCAAGCGUUGUUCGGAUUCAUUGGGCGUAAAGGGUGCGUAGGUGGCGCUGUAAGUCGGGUGUGAAAUCCCGGGGCUUAACUUCGGAACUGCAUUCGAUACUGCGAUACUCGAGGACUCGAGAGGAGAUUGGAAUUCACGGUGUAGCAGUGAAAUGCGUAGAUAUCGAGAGGAACACCAGUGGCGAAGGCGAGUCUCUGGACGACUCCUGACACUGAGGCACGAAAGCCAGGGGAGCAAACAGG
rnacentral:rRNA from 1 species